UAAUACGUAGGGUGCGAGCGUUGUCCGGAUUUAUUGGGCGUAAAGAGCUCGUAGGCGGUUUGUCGCGUCGGCCGUGAAAUCUCCACGCUUAACGUGGAGCGUGCGGUCGAUACGGGCAGACUUGAGUUCGGUAGGGGAGACUGGAAUUCCUGGUGUAGCGGUGAAAUGCGCAGAUAUCAGGAGGAACACCGGUGGCGAAGGCGGGUCUCUGGGCCGAUACUGACGCUGAGGAGCGAAAGCGUGGGGAGCGAACAGGAUUAGAUACCCUGGUAGUCCACGCUGUAAACGUUGGGCGCUAGGUGUGGGCGACAUCCACGUUGUCCGUGCCGUAGCUAACGCAUUAAGCGCCCCGCCUGGGGAGUACGGCCGCAAGGCUA
rnacentral:rRNA from 1 species